rnacentral:tRNA from 1 species
GCGCCUGUAGCUCAGCUGGAUAGAGCAUCGGCCUCCGGAGCCGAUGGUCGGAGGUUCAAAUCCUCUCAGGCGCG